rnacentral:rRNA from 1 species
ACUCCUACGGGAGGCAGCAGUAGGGAAUCUUCCACAAUGGGCGCAAGCCUGAUGGAGCAACACCGCGUGAGUGAAGAAGGGUUUCGGCUCGUAAAGCUCUGUUGUUAAAGAAGAACACGUAUGAGAGUAACUGUUCAUACGUUGACGGUAUUUAACCAGAAAGUCACGGCUAACUACGUGCCAGCAGCCGCGGUAAUACGUAGGUGGCAAGCGUUAUCCGGAUUUAUUGGGCGUAAAGAGAGUGCAGGCGGUUUUCUAAGUCUGAUGUGAAAGCCUUCGGCUUAACCGGAGAAGUGCAUCGGAAACUGGAUAACUUGAGUGCAGAAGAGGGUAGUGGAACUCCAUGUGUAGCGGUAGUAGUAGUCGUACGUAGUAUAA